rnacentral:lncRNA from 1 species
GAAGAAAAGGGAAAAGGGCUGUCCCCAUCCUUCUAAGGAGAUGGUGCAGUGGCUCACCUUUGGGAGGCCGAGGCAGGCAGAUCACUUGAGCUCAGCAGUUUGAGACCAGCCUGGGUAACAUAGUGAAACCCCAUCUCUACAGAAAUUAAAAAAUUAGCCAGACAUGGCGGCGCACACCUGUGGUCCCAGCUACUCAGGAGGCUGCGGCAGAAGUAUGCCUUGAGCCAAAGAGGCAGAGAUUGCAGUGAGCCAAGAUCAUGCUACUGCACUCCAGCCUGGGCAACGAAGCAAGACUGUCUCAGGAAAAAAAAAAAAAAUGAUCAUUUUUCUCUGUCCACUUGGUGGGUCAACUGAAUGGUAUUCCUGUGUCUUCUACUCUCCUCCCACUUGGAAACCCACUGAGAUGCUCUUCCGAAGGCCAGUGCAUGCUGGGCCACACGAGACAGAGCUCAGGCUGGAGGAGCCUCAUACCCGCCCCUCUAGAUGCUUAUAAAAAUACUUCCCACCUUUGAAUCAAGUGGAAAAUGAGGCUCUCCAGUCAAAAGCCGCGACUGUAUAGAAAGCCCUGAGUUGCCCAAUCUGUUCACAUGGCAUCACCAACCUCUGUGUCAUCAUCAAGCUGUCCAGGGGACUCGAUGGCCACCUGGCCAGGAACUGCGGGCUGAUUGGAAGCUGUUGUUCCCAUUGUAUAAUCACA